rnacentral:tRNA from 1 species
CCCUGGCGGUUCAGAUGGUAAAGAAUCUGCCUGUAAUGCAGGGGAUCCAGGUUCAAUCCCUGGGUUGGGAA